UACGUAGGGCGCAAGCGUUAUCCGGAAUUAUUGGGCGUAAAGAGCUCGUAGGCGGUUUGUCGCGUCUGCCGUGAAAGUCCGGGGCUCAACUCCGGAUCUGCGGUGGGUACGGGCAGACUAGAGUGAUGUAGGGGAGACUGGAAUUCCUGGUGUAGCGGUGAAAUGCGCAGAUAUCAGGAGGAACACCGAUGGCGAAGGCAGGUCUCUGGGCAUUAACUGACGCUGAGGCGCGAAAGCGUGGGUAGCAAACAGG
rnacentral:rRNA from 1 species